CCCUCUCUCUAUUACCACCGCCAUCUUGUCUCUCCCUCUCUCUAUUACCACCGACGAUUUUCUUUCUUUAAUCAUCAAUCAGACCAACUAAGAUCUUGUCUUUCCCUCUCUCUAUUACCACCGACGAUCUUGUCUCACCCUCUCUCUAUUACCACCUUUCGAUCUUCUCUCUUUAUUCAUCAAUCUGACCACCAACGAUAUUGUUUCUUUAUUCCGACCACAGACAGAUCUUGUUUCUCUAUUAUAAGAUCCCGAUUCAGAUGUGACGAAUCCGCUGUUUCUUCCGAUUAUCUUAGUGAAGCUGAAGAAUAUGGAGGCUCGCGCUGUUGAUGAUGUGUUUAAGGACUUUUGGGAUCGAAGAGCUGAUCUCACCAAGACUUUCAUUUUAUUCCAUUGGGUUUUCUUGAUUCCUGAGAUCAUAAAGUUCACACCUUUCUUCAGAAGAAGACGAAGAGAUCGUGUUUGUUUAAGAUGUUUUGUUGGAGAAGAACUUCAAAUCUUUAGCUGGAAAGGGAUUUUAACAGAUCGCAAACAUCUAUUGAGAAUUGGGUCCGUACUUCACCAAAGCUAAAAGAAAUUAUGAAAAAGAUUCUUUACCUGGGGAACACAUUGAACCAAGGAACUGCGAGGGGCGCUGCAGUGGGAUUCAAGUUGGACAGUUUAUCAAAACUAAGCGAUAUACAUGCUGCUAACAGGAAGAUGACUCUCAUGCACUAUCUUUGCAAGUUCCUUGCUUGAAAGGGAUCAGAUCUGCUGGACUUCCCUAAGGAUAUUGAGAGUCUUGAAAAGUAUUCUUCAAAGAUACAAUUGAAGUCGUUGGCUGAGGAAAUGCAAGCUAUAAUCAAAGGACUGGAGAAACUGAUCAACCAAUAGCUCACUGCAUCUGAAAAGAAAAGGUAAACUAUUUGCUCAGGUUUUGAACGCCCGACAGCAAUGCCAUUUAGCCAUUUACAUAUUUAAAAGUUAAGUAUUUAUAAAUAUGUACUCUUGUGUGAUUACCUUUACAACUGUGUUCUUAUUUAACUCUCUUAUUAUUCAGGAGAUGCUGGAAACAACAUUAUAAGUUUGAGAAAGGACAUUGAGGAAUGAAACAUAGCUACCGCUUGGAAGUCACAAAACAAAACAUAACAGGCGCUUGGAUUCAGAAACAACCUUUAGCAUUGG